rnacentral:rRNA from 1 species
AGGGCACCACCAGGAGUGGAGCCUGCGGCUUAAUUUGACUCAACACGGGGAAACUCACCCGGCCCGGACACCGUAAGGAUUGACAGAUUGAUAGCUUUUUCAUGAUUCGGGGGAUGGGGGUGCAUGGCCGUUCUUAGUUCGGGGAGCGAUUUGUCUGGUUUAUUCCGAUAACGAGCGAGACUCUAGCCUACUAACUAGUCCGUACAUUGCCUCUGUGUGCGCGACUUCUUAGAGGGAUUCUCGGUGUACAGCCGCACGAAAUUGAGCAAUAACCGGUCUGUGAUGCCCUUAGAUGUCCGGGGCUGCACGCGCGCUACACUGGAAAAAUCAACGUGCUUGUCCUUCCCCGAAAGGGGUUGGUAAACCCUUGAAAAAUUUGCCGUGAUUGGGAUCGGAAAUUGCAAUUAUCUUCCGUGAACGAGGAAUUCCAAGUAAGUGCGAGUCAUCAACUCGCGUAGAUUACCUCUCUGCCCUUUGUACACACCGCGCGUCUCUGCCCGGGAAUGAGCCAUCUCGAAG